UACAGAGGUCUCAAGCGUUGUUCGGAUUCAUUGGGCGUAAAGGGUGCGUAGGUGGCGUGGUAAGUCGGAUGUGAAAUCCCGGGGCUCAACCUCGGAACUGCAUUCGAUACUGCCUUGCUAGAGUACUGGAGAGGAGAUUGGAAUUUACGGUGUAGCAGUGAAAUGCAUAGAUAUCGUCAAGAACACCGAUAGCGAAGGCAGCUUACUGGGCUGUAACUGACGCUGAUGCACGAAAGUGUGGGGAUCAAACAGG
rnacentral:rRNA from 1 species